AGAUGGAUUUGACCUUCUAAGGAGAAAGAAAGUCAAGAAGGAUAAAGAUGGAACUCUGGCCAAGGCCUGCAACUGGAGGGAAGGAAAAGAAGCCGGUGAAUGAGGCUGAGAGGUGAUGAGACUCAGAGGAAGGCUGGAGGAGAGAGGGGUUGCAGAAGCCAGGGGAGAGGAGGCUGAAAAGGGGAGCAUCCUCAACAGGGUCAGAGGCCUCAGAAAGCUUAGAGGAGGCGGGGGACUGAGACUGUUAAGUACCCCUUAACAGUGGGAGUGGGAGUGUUAGGGCACUGAGGGAGUUUGAGAGCAGCCUCAGCCAAAUGUGAAAACACAAAUCCAUUUGCAGGCAAAAUGCAUUUAAUAAGUGAGUAUGUGAGGAGCCAUAUAUGAGAGGGCGCAGGUGCGGAGGGAAGCAUUGAAGGCAGGAGAUGCAGCAGGCGAGGUGUGAGGGGAGCGCUGCC
rnacentral:lncRNA from 1 species